rnacentral:pre_miRNA from 1 species
UCUUAUGGAUGAGCCAAAAAAAGUGGUUUCUUGAGAUAGAAUCAACUCCUGGUGAAGACGCUGUGAA